UACGUAGGGUGCAAGCGUUAAUCGGAAUUACUGGGCGUAAAGCGUGCGCAGGCGGUUUUGUAAGUCUGUCGUGAAAUCCCCGGGCUCAACCUGGGAAUUGCGAUGGAGACUGCAAGGCUAGAAUCUGGCAGAGGGGGUAGAAUUCCACGUGUAGCAGUGAAAUGCGUAGAGAUGUGGAGGAACACCGAUGGCGAAGGCAGCCCCCUGGGUCAAGAUUGACGCUCAUGCACCGAAAGCGUGGGGAGCAAACAGG
rnacentral:rRNA from 1 species